rnacentral:pre_miRNA from 1 species
ACAACAUUCAGACCGUCAGUCUACCAAGCAAUAUCACCCGCUCAGUGUAAGAUCUUUCCCUCCGUUGU